rnacentral:rRNA from 1 species
CCAAUAGCGUAUAUUAAAGUUGUUGCAGUUAAAAAGCUCGUAGUUGAAUUUCGGGAUCAAUAUUUCGGUCAUGCCGUUGGUAUGCACUGUUAUCAUUGAUUUCUCACCUUCUAAAGAACCGUAAUGCCAUUAAUUUGGUGUUACGGGAAAUUAGGAAUGUUACCUUGAAAAAAUUAGAGUGUUUAAAGCAGGCUCACGCU